CCUAUAAGACUGGGAUAACUUCGGGAAACCGGAGCUAAUACCGGAUAACAUUUGGAACCGCAUGGUUCUAAAGUGAAAGAUGGUUUUGCUAUCACUUAUAGAUGGACCCGCGCCGUAUUAGCUAGUUGGUAAGGUAACGGCUUACCAAGGCGACGAUACGUAGCCGACCUGAGAGGGUGAUCGGCCACACUGGAACUGAGACACGGUCCAGACUCCUACGGGAGGCAGCAGUAGGGAAUCUUCCGCAAUGGGCGAAAGCCUGACGGAGCAACGCCGCGUGAGUGAUGAAGGGUUUCGGCUCGUAAAACUCUGUUAUUAGGGAAGAACAAAUGUGUAAGUAACUAUGCACAUCUUGACGGUACCUAAUCAGAAAGCCACGGCUAACUACGUGCCAGCAGCCGCGGUAAUACGUAGGUGGCAAGCGUUAUCCGGAAUUAUUGGGCGUAAAGCGCGCGUAGGCGGUUUCUUAAGUCUGAUGUGAAAGCCCACGGCUCAACCGUGGAGGGUCAUUGGAAACUGGGAAACUUGAGUGCAGAAGAGGAAAGUGGAAUUCCAUGUGUAGCGGUGAAAUGCGCAGAGAUAUGGAGGAACACCAGUGGCGAAGGCGACUUUCUGGUCUGUAACUGACGCUGAUGUGCGAAAGCGUGGGGAUCAAACAGGAUUAGAUACCCUGGUAGUCCACGCCGUAAACGAUGAGUGCUAAGUGUUAGGGGGUUUCCGCCCCUUAGUGCUGCAGCUAACGCAUUAAGCACUCCGCCUGGGGAGUACGACCGCAAGGUUGAAACUCAAA
rnacentral:rRNA from 1 species